AUUGAACGCUGGCGGCAGGCCUAACACAUGCAAGUCGAACGGUAACAGGACGCAGCUUGCUGCUUCGCUGACGAGUGGCGGACGGGUGAGUAAUGUCUGGGAAGCUGCCUGAUGGAGGGGGAUAACUACUGGAAACGGUAGCUAAUACCGCAUAAUGUCGCAAGACCAAAGAGGGGGAACUUCGGGCCUCUUGCCAUCGGGUGUGCCCAGAUGGGAUUAGCUGGUUGGUGGGGUAACGGCUCACCAAGGCGACGAUCCCUAGCUGGUCUGAGAGGAUGACCAGCCACACUGGAACUGAGACACGGUCCAGACUCCUACGGGAGGCAGCAGUGGGGAAUAUUGGACAAUGGGCGCAAGCCUGAUGCAGCCAUGCCGCGUGUAUGAAGAAGGCCUUCGGGUUGUAAAGUACUUUCAGCGGGGAGGAAGGGAGUAAAGUUAAUACCUUUGCUCAUUGACGUUACCCGCAGAAGAAGCACCGGCUAACUCCGUG
rnacentral:rRNA from 1 species